rnacentral:lncRNA from 1 species
GAACUCUUGAAAGAGGCUUUCCUCUGCUCUGUAAAAGUGUUAGGCCAGGUCCAAAAAUAGUUCACCCUAUAUAAAUAAAGGCAACAGUAGUAUAUCGAUGUUCGAAAGUCAUAAAUCGAUUGAGAGAAAAACAAAUCUUGGUUAUAAAUUAAAACGAGGGAAACACUUCAACUAUAAGAGGAAAACAACGAAACAACAGAAACACUGAUGUGCAACAAAAAACAAACGACAAUGCAACACACACAGAAACGAACUAUAAGAUAACUUUUGACAUUUUCCUGCAUUGGUACAGGACAUUUUAAGAAAAAAUUGUGGGUUGAAGCUUGUUUUGUUGAUAGCCAAACCUCGCGCUUUUAUGGCAAUGAUGAAUUUAACACUACAAUUACAACAUUACAUGACAGGAAUGCAGUACAGAUAAAUGCAAGAACAUUCAGCAUAGAGAAAUAUACAAAUAAACAAUACAAUAGUACAUUUUGACAUGCUAAUAGUUAUCAAAGGUACAAGGCUUAUAACUUAAUACGCCCGACGAACGUUUCAUCUACACAAGACUCGUCAGUGACGCUAAGAUCAAAAUAGUAAGCCAAACAGGUAAAAAGUUGAAGAGCAUUGAUGAUCCAAAAUUUCCAAAAGUUGUGCGGUUAAGGUUAUCUAUCCCUGGGAUAGAAAAAUCCUCAGUAUGUAUAAUAAUUUAUACUUGUGCAAACAGUAAAUUUAUAAAAAUGACCAUAUAAUUGAUAUUCAUGUCAACACCGAAGUGCUGAUUAACCACACAAUAAAAACGUAAAACAACCUAGGACAGCACAUAAAAACAGCACAACAGACCCACGCAUUGUCUGUCAAACGACUGGAUCGACGCCACAAAAGUGACGUCAGAUGUAAAUUUCUAAAAUAAUGAUAUAGUUCAAGUUGAGGUUUGUAAUUAUAGUAUUGGAUGUAUUUUAUAACAAUUACAAAAC